CAGCCCUGUGAAGGUGAGCAAAUCCCAAAAAUAACGUCUCAGUUCGGAUUGUAGUCUGCAACUCGACUACAUGAAGCUGGAAUCGCUAGUAAUCGCGGAUCAGAAUGCCGCGGUGAAUACGUUCCCGGGUCUUGUACACACCGCCCGUCACACCAUGGGAGCCGGAAAUGCCCGAAGCCAGUGACCCAACCUUAGGGAGGGAGCUGUCGAAGGUGGAGCCGGUAACUGGGGUGAAGUCGUAACAAGGUAUC
rnacentral:rRNA from 1 species